rnacentral:rRNA from 1 species
UUUUAUGGAGAGUUUGAUCCUGGCUCAGGAUGAACGCUGGCGGCGUGCCUAAUACAUGCAAGUCGAGCGAACAGAUGAGGAGCUUGCUCCUCUGACGUUAGCGGCGGACGGGUGAGUAACACGUGGAUAACCUACCUAUAAGACUGGGAUAACUACGGGAAACCGGAGCUAAUACCGGAUAAUAUAUUGAACCGCAUGGGUCAAUAGUGAAAGACGGUUUUGCUGUCACUUAUAGAUGGAUCCGCGCCGCAUUAGCUCGUUGGUAAGGUAA